rnacentral:lncRNA from 1 species
GACAAACUGAAACUGCAACGCCAGCCUGACCAGGUCUCUGACGCCCAACCUGGAGCUCUGAAGCCGAGAUUCCUGGUGAAAACGUCCUGCAUUGGGCAGCAGUGGCCAGGCCCGAGCAGUGGUCUUACUUGGCCAUUGGCUGAGGAGAGCACGACUCCACUCAAAAGCUGAGGCAGACGUGCAGGAGGCACAGCUGGCCACGCUCGUCGCAGCUGGGCAGUGAGUCCCCCUUGAAGGAGUGCCUGUCUGCUGCGAGCCCGAUAGUUGUCGCUAUUCCAGGCACGGACAGGCUGUUCUCAUGAUAAUGAAGCCUGGAUGCAGGCCAUUGGCCAGGAGCUGUUCCGGAAGGCCCCGGGCGAGCAUGGACAGAGAGCCUGGCUGGGCCUGGGGCGCAGGGCCCACAGAGAGGCCAGGAAGGCAGCACUCAGGCUGGGAUGACCCCUUAGCCUGGAGGAGGAAGUAGGAGCAAGCAGCCUGGGACACCUCCUAAUUUUCUAUGCACAUAAAAUUUCCGCAUGCUCUGAGAAUAAGCUUCAAGGGAGAUAAUAAAAUGAGGCUCCCUGCAAACUUCUACCACUCUAAGUGUAAAAUCGCCUGAUUACCGCAGCCAGCUUCUUGCUGCUCUCCCUGUAAUCCAGUUCUGGCUGCGAUUACACAGCGCUGCGCCUCACGCUGGUGCCAAGCGUCAAACAAACAGAUACCGACGAUUCAGUGUGAUUUGGCGCGUGGGAGGAGUCCCAGGAGCUCAGUCACAAAGGGAAGCCUUCCAUAGGCGGGCAGAGAAAGUAAAUGCAGAGAGUUAAACGUUAAAAUAACAGACACAAAAGUAAACACCUCCCCCCAACACACACACACACACAAAACGGAGUGCUAAAUGUGGUAUUCACUGGCAUUGAAUUUGAAAGAAAAAUAAAAUGCCAAGUAACGUUGGGUUAUGAUGUUAUUUGAACUAAAUCUUUAAUGAAACCUUGAUACAUAGUCCACAGGUGAAUUGAACAUGCACCUAAAGCCAUUUGCUCCCUGAUCCCAGGCUGCUCAGCCAGCAUCAUUCCCAAAAACACAAGCACGUUGGCGCCUCUGACUUCACUCACUCUCUGUGAUGCCUUCUCCUCUUCUCUCUGUCCUGAAAUUUCUUACUCAUUCAACAAUGUUCAGCCCAAAUUUUACCUUUUCUGAGUGUGUGCCACUCAUGUUCUCCCAUGAAAUGAAUUAAUUGCUCGUCUCUGCCUCCAUGGACAUAUACACAUACAGAUGUAGAUAUGGAGACAGACAUAUACAUAUAGAUAUUUAAUUUUAAAUUCUCAAAAAGUUCACUGAUAUACUUUCUGGGUCCAGCAACAUGUUUGAAAAAAUAGUAGUUAAUGAAUAAUUUCAAUUAAGCUGAUUCCAUUGGGGACGGUCACUUGAUCACAUUAAGUAGUACAAAAAAGUAUGAAUGAAAUA